rnacentral:rRNA from 1 species
CUUAACGCGAAGAACCUUACCUACUCUUGACAUCCAGAGAACUUUCCAGAGAUGGAUUGGUGCCUUCGGGAACUCUGAGACAGGUGCUGCAUGGCUGUCGUCAGCUCGUGUUGUGAAAUGUUGGGUUAAGUCCCGCAACGAGCGCAACCCUUAUCCUUUGUUGCCAGCGGUUCGGCCGGGAACUCAAAGGAGACUGCCAGUGAUAAACUGGAGGAAGGUGGGGAUGACGUCAAGUCAUCAUGGCCCUUACGAGUAGGGCUACACACGUGCUACAAUGGCGUAUACAAAGAGAAGCGACCUCGCGAGAGCAAGCGGACCUCAUAAAGUACGUCGUAGUCCGGAUUGGAGUCUGCAACUCGACUCCAUGAAGUCGGAAUCGCUAGUAAUCGUAGAUCAGAAUGCUACGGUGAAUACGUUCCCGGGCCUUGUACACACCGAAG